CUCAGGACUGAAUGAAAAGAUGACCAGACUCUGAGGACAUUGGAAGAAUUGUCUUACUGAGGAAGCCAGCAGUAAGACAGCUAAAUAUGUUGGAAGUUCCUAACUCAGGAGCACCGGCAGUACCCUGAGCAGAAAAAAACCCUUUUUCUAGGAGAUCAUAAAACAAUGGAGAACUGAACAAUGAAAUACUGAAGAUAAAUGUUUACUGGAGUUGAAAUGGAAACUGGAGAUAUAUCAGCAUUUUGCCGUGCAAAAAGAACACUGGAUUUGAAGCUGGACAAUGAGGGUUUGAACCUUAUCUCUAACACUUAUCCCUGCUUUAACCUUAGUGGGACUUCUCUGUGGCUGGGAUACUGCCCUUCUUUAUUCCCUGGCUUCCUUCAAGAAUCAACUUAAAUCCCACCUUUGAGAGCCUGGAAACUGGGUCUGAGAAUCUCUUACUCAGGAGUUUGCAGGCCUUCAAGCUAAGACUAAAGGAAGAAAACAAGGAAAGUCAGGAUUUCUGCUCUUUCUGGAAGAUUAUAGCAGUACUCUAGCCAAAGAUAUCAACUACACCAGAAGUUGAAGGCAUUGGAAACUAUAGCCAAACAAGGUCUGAAUGCACUCCUUAAAGAAGCAAGCCUACUGAGACUGUUGAGUAUUGAUCCCAGCAGAGACACUGCUCAGUGAGGAGCAGAAAGAGAACAAAUUCAGAAGACCCUCCCCCAUAUAUUUUCCAUAGGUGGACUUUUCCUGUGUCAUUUCUAUGAUGACUCCAAUAAUGAUGUUUAUGGUUGUAAGAGACAAUGCUCAAGAUUUAUGGGGAGAAAAUUCUAUUGUAAAUUGUCUUAUACUAUUUAAUUAAAUGUCUUUGUUUUGAACUGAUUGUGUUCU
rnacentral:lncRNA from 1 species